UACGUAGGUGGCAAGCGUUUAUCCGGAAUUAUUGGGCGUAAAGCGCGCGCAGGUGGUUUCUUAAGUCUGAUGUGAAAGCCCACGGCUCAACCGUGGAGGGUCAUUGGAAACUGGGAGACUUGAGUGCAGAAGAGGAAAGUGGAAUUCCAUGUGUAGCGGUGAAAUGCGUAGAGAUAUGGAGGAACACCAGUGGCGAGGGCGACUUUCUGGUCUGUAACUGACGCUGAGGCGCGAAAGCGUGGGGAGCAAACAGG
rnacentral:rRNA from 1 species